UGGGGAAUAUUGCACAAUGGGCGCAAGCCUGAUGCAGCGACGCCGCGUGGGGGAUGACGGCCUUCGGGUUGUAAACUCCUUUCGCCAGGGACGAAGCGUUUUGUGACGGUACCUGGAGAAGAAGCGCCGGCUAACUACGUGCCAGCAGCCGCGGUAAUACGUAGGGUGCAAGCGUUGUCCGGAAUUACUGGGCGUAAAGAGCUCGUAGGUGGUUUGUCACGUCGUCUGUGAAAUUCCACAGCUUAACUGUGGGCGUGCAGGCGAUACGGGCUGACUUGAGUACUGUAGGGGUAACUGGAAUUCCUGGUGUAGCGGUGAAAUGCGCAGAUAUCAGGAGGAACACCGAUGGCGAAGGCAGGUUACUGGGCAGUUACUGACGCUGAGGAGCGAAAGCAUGGGUAGCAAACAGGAUUAGAUACCCUGGUAGUCCAUGCCGUANACGGUGGGCGCUAGGUGUAGGGGCCUUUUGGGGUUUCUGUGCCGUAGCUNACGCAUUAAGCGCCCCGCCNGGGGAGUACGGCCGCAANGCUA
rnacentral:rRNA from 1 species